GUGGGGAAUAUUGGACAAUGGGGGGAACCCUGAUCCAGCCAUGCCGCGUGUGUGAAGAAGGCCUUUUGGUUGUAAAGCACUUUAAGCGAGGAGGAGGCUACCGAGAUUAAUACUCUUGGAUAGUGGACGUUACUCGCAGAAUAAGCACCGGCUAACUCUGUGCCAGCAGCCGCGGUAAUACAGAGGGUGCAAGCGUUAAUCGGAUUUACUGGGCGUAAAGCGCGCGUAGGUGGCCAAUUAAUUAAAAUGUGAAAUCCCCGAGCUUAACUUGGGAAUUGCAUUCGAUACUGGUUGGCUAGAGUAGGGGAGAGGAUGGUAGAAUUCCAGGUGUAGCGGUGAAAUGCGUAGAGAUCUGGAGGAAUACCGAUGGCGAAGGCAGCCAUCUGGCCUAAUACUGACACUGAGGUGCGAAAGCAUGGGGAGCAAACAGGAUUAGAAACCCCGGUAGUCC
rnacentral:rRNA from 1 species